rnacentral:rRNA from 1 species
GAUGAACGCUGGCGGCGUGCCUAAUACAUGCAAGUCGAGCGAACGGACGAGAAGCUUGCUUCUCUGAUGUUAGCGGCGGACGGGUGAGUAACACGUGGAUAACCUACCUAUAAGACUGGGAUAACUUCGGGAAACCGGAGCUAAUACCGGAUAAUAUUUUGAACCGCAUGGUUCAAAAGUGAAAGACGGUCUUGCUGUCACUUAUAGAUGGAUCCGCGCUGCAUUAGCUAGUUGGUAAGGUAACGGCUUACCAAGGCAACGAGGCAUAGCCGACCUGAGAGAGUGAUCGGCCACACUGGAACUGAGACACGGUCCAGACUCCUACGGGAGGCAGCAGUAGGGAAUCUUCCGCAAUGGGCGAAAGCCUGACGGAGCAACGCCGCGUGAGUGAUGAAGGUUUUCGGAUCGUAAAACUCUGUUAUUAGGGAAGAACAUAUGUGUAAGUAACUGUGCACAUCUUGACGGUACCUAAUCAGAAAGCCACGGCUAACUACGUG